CCUACGGGUGGCAGCAGUAGGGAAUAUUGCUCAAUGGGGGAAACCCUGAAGCAGCAACGCCGCGUGGAGGAUGAAGGUUUUCGGAUUGUAAACUCCUUUUGGUAGAGAAGAUAAUGACGGUAUCUAACGAAUAAGCACCGGCUAAAUCCGUGCCAGCAGCCGCGGUAAUACGGAGGGUGCAAGCGUUACUCGGAAUCACUGGGCGUAAAGAGCGCGUAGGCGGGAUAGCAAGUCCGAUGUGAAAUCCUAUGGCUUAACCAUAGAACAGCAUUUGAAACUGUCAUUCUAGAGUAUGCGAGAAGUAGGUGGAAUUCGUGGUGUAGGGGUAAAAUCCGUAGAGAUCGAGAGGAAUACUCAUUGCGAAGGCGGCCUGCUGGAACAUAACUGACGCUGAUGCGCGAAAGCGUGGGGAGCGAACAGGAUUAGAUACCCGGGUAGUC
rnacentral:rRNA from 1 species